GCGCAGCAGUCGCGAAACUUUUGCAAUGCGCGCAAGCGUGACAACGUCAUCCCGAGUGCCACCCGCUGAGGGUGGCUUUUCCACAGUCUAAAAAGCUGUGGGAAUAAGGGGAGGGUAAGUCGGGUGUCAGCCGCCGCGGUAAUACCCGCUCCCCGAGUGGUGGGGGCUUUUACUGAGCUUAAAGCGCCCGUAGCCGGUCAUGCGUGUCUCCAGUUAAAUCCAGCAGCCUAACUGCUGGGCCGCUGGAGAUACUGUAUGACUUGGAGGCGGGAGAGGCUACCGGUAGUCCCGGGGUAGGAGUGAAAUCCUCUGAUCCACGGAAGACCACCAGUGGCGAAGGCGGUCCGCCAGGACGCGUCUGACGGUGAGGGAUGAAAGCUGGGGGAGCGAACCGGAAUAGAUACCCGUGUAGUCC
rnacentral:rRNA from 1 species